GAUGAAGAACGUAGCGAAAUGCGAUAAGUAAUGUGAAUUGCAGAAUUCAGUGAAUCAUCGAAUCUUUGAACGCACAUUGCGCCCGCCAGUAUUCUGGCGGGCAUGCCUGUUCGAGCGUCAUUACAACCCUCAGGCCCCCGGGCCUGGCGUUGGGGAUCGGCAGAAGCCCCCUGUGGGCACACGCCGUCCCUCAAAUACAGUGGCGGUCCCGCCGCAGCUUCCAUUGCGUAGUAGCUAACACCUCGCAACUGGAGAGCGGCGCGGCCAUGCCGUAAACACCCAACUUCUGAAUGUUGACCUCGAAUCAGGUAGGAAUACCCGCUGAACUUAAGCAUAUCAAUAAGCGGAGGA
rnacentral:misc_RNA from 1 species